GUUAUUUUCACUUUUCAAGACUUUCGAAAUGUGAGUUAUAUUUCUACUGGAGGAGGUGGAGCUGUAAGCACUGUCACAUAUUGUGAUCUUGUUAAAUCUCUUCAGAGCCUGUUGCAGAGCUCAUUUAAGCUGCAUUACUGAACACAGACAAUGGUACUUCAUUCUGUUAUUCUGCUAUUUGUCUUUACAUGUACCACAUAUGGAAAUGAAAUCAGACCAACCAAAACUGAGGAGUUUGCUGUUGAAGGUUCAAGUGUUACAUUAUCCUGCAGUUAUUCGUCUGCACGGUCUUUAUUCUGGUACCGUCAGUAUCCCGGAUCAGCUCCUGAAUUCCUUGUAAUCUUCAUAUAUGGUGCAAAAGAUGCUACAAAGUCUGAAGUAGAUCCCAGAUUCACUGCUAAACCCAACAAAGAAAAGCAAAACCAUGUGGAUCUGGAGAUCUCCUCUGCUAAAGUGACAGACUCUGCUCUGUACUACUGUGCCAUGGAGCCCACAGUGACAGGAAACACAAGAACACCGUACAAUAACCUGACACAUCUGAGAACACAAAUAUGUUCUUAGGAGGACAUUUACUGUAUAAGAGAAUACUUAAAUAUCUGUAAAAGAUGACUGUUUUUUCUAAAGACGUUACAUUAUUAACUUCAAGUGUUG